GACGAACGCUGGCGGCGUGCUUAACACAUGCAAGUCGAACGGAAAGGCCCUGCUUUUGUGGGGUGCUCGAUUGGCGAACGGGUGAGUAACACGUGAGUAACCUGCCCUUGACUUUGGGAUAACUUCAGGAAACUGGGGCUAAUACCGGAUAGGAGCUCCUGCUGCAUGGUGGGGGUUGGAAAGUUUCGGCGGUUGGGGAUGGACUCGCGGCUUAUCAGCUUGUUGGUGGGGUAGUGGCUUACCAAGGGUUUGACGGGUAGCCGGCCUGAGAGCGUGACCGGCCACAUUGGGACUGAGAUACGGACCAGACUCCUACGGGAGGCAGCAGUGGGGAAUAUUGCACAAUGGGCGGAAGCCUGAUGCAGCAGCGCCGCGUGCGGGAUGACGGCCUUCGGGUUGUAAACCGCUUUCGCCUGUGACGAAGCGUGAGUGACGGUAAUGGGUAAAGAAGCACCGGCUAACUACGUG
rnacentral:rRNA from 1 species